UGUAGGCGGCUUGACAAGUCAGAUGUGAAAUCCCUGGGCUUAACCCAGGAAGUGCAUUUGAAACUGUCUUGCUUGAGUAAGGGAGAGGAAAGUGGAAUUCCUGGUGUAGAGGUGAAAUUCGUAGAUAUCAGGAGGAACACCGGUGGCGAAGGCGACUUUCUGGCCCUAUACUGACGCUGAGACGCGAAAGCGUGGGUAGCAAACA
rnacentral:rRNA from 1 species